AGUGUAGCAGAAGACCAGUGACCAAAUAAAUGCAGUCCUACAAGAACCAGCCAAAGAUGGAGAAGCUCCAUACAGUCAACAAAAACAAGACCAGAAGCUGACUGUGGCUCAGAUCAUGCCAAAUUCAACUUAAAUUGAAGGAAGUAGGGAAAACCACUAGACCAUUCAGAUCCUUAAAGACUGUGUGAGCACUACCUUGGUGGUCUAGUGGUUAAGAAUCCACCUGCCAAUGCAGGGGACACAAGUUCGACCCCUGGUCCCAGAAGACCCCACAUGCUGCGGAACAACUAAGCCCGUGUGCCGCAACUACUGAGCCUGUGCUCUAGAUCCUGUGCUCUGCAACAAGAGAAGUCACUGCAAUCAGAAAUCCGGGCACAGCGAUAAAAAGUAGACUGCUCCCACCUCUCCCCUGCUCACUGCAACUAGAGAGGAAACAUGCAGGCAGCAACAAAGACCCAGUCC
ensembl:lncRNA